CCUACGGGCGGCAGCAGUGGGGAAUAUUGCGCAAUGGGCGAAAGCCUGACGCAGCGACGCCGCGUGAGGGAUGAAGGUCUUCGGAUCGUAAACCUCUGUCAGCAGGGAAGCACGGUCACUGUGCUAAUCAGCAGUGAAUUGACGGUACCUGCAAAGGAAGCACCGGCUAACUCCGUGCCAGCAGCCGCGGUAAUACGGAGGGUGCGAGCGUUAAUCGGAAUUACUGGGCGUAAAGCGCUCGUAGGCGGUAUGUCAAGUCAAGGGUGAAAUCCCCGCGCUCAACGUGGGAACUGCCUUUGAAACUGGCAAACUGGAGUGUGUGAGAGGAUAGUGGAAUUCCAGGUGUAGGAGUGAAAUGCGUAGAUAUCUGGAGGAACAUCAGUGGCGAAGGCGACUAUCUGGCACAUAACUGACGCUGAGGAGCGAAAGCGUGGGUAGCAAACAGGAUUAGAUACCCUGGUAGUC
rnacentral:rRNA from 1 species